UUUUAGCAAAAUUGGCAUGUUUUAGGGAUUUAUAAGCAAUUUUACAACAAAUUUUUCAGAACUUUAGGUCAACUUCAGCGCUCUUUCAUAGUUCCUUAAUAAAAUUUCCAGUCCUUUAGCAAGAUCAACAUUUUGCAAAUAGCUUUUGCAUUUUCAGCAAAUCCCUACAGAAAUUAAAGUAAAUUGCGUCACCAUUUUCAGCAAAAAGCUGCUUCAACAUCUUCACCGAUUACUUUAAGCGAAAUGCGUAGCAUCAUCGCAGGUAAUGCAACUUUUCUAGUUUUAUUUCAUUUCCUCAGGCAUUUUUUAUUUGCUGCUUUAAUUCUCUUUCUUUUCUACAAUCACAGGAAGAACCAGGAAUCCUUCAGGCUGUGAGAAAACAACUGUUUGCAAAAAAACACAUAAAACUGCUCUUCACUCACAGUGUAAAUUGAAUAUCUUAAGUUUACUCUGGUUUCUACAGGCAGCCAAUGAGAAAGAACGAUGUCCUCCACCACCUUCCGUGAGUUAUGAAAGAGGCUGGUGAUCAGAAAUUAGAAUGAAAAAUGUAUGAACAACUUUUCCCAUCAUUGUGAAACAUGUUUCUGAUUUUAUGAGGAUCAUCUGAAAGAUGAACUUUUGAAACAAAAAGUAAAACCUGUCAGUUAAUUGCCAUAAUUUUGGCAUUUUUGACACAUAAUUGCAAGGAUAUGGACAUUGUGCAAAGAGUGUUGCUUGGACACAAAAGGCUCUCGCACUGACCUUUUAAUGCGAGUGUCUGAAGAAAUGAAGUCUAGAGAGGCUUAUGACAAGGUGUUUGAAAACAUCUGGGCUGCAUCAGGUAACUCUAUAUGCUGCAAAUCACAAUAUUCUAAUAUCUAUACAAUGUGUAAUGUCACAAAGAAUAACUAAUAAUUUCCAUGUGUUUUAGGAGGUUGGGCUGCCAUCAUGUCCCCUUGUGGCAUCAUUUACAGUAUUAAAUGUAACCUACGAGCAGAAAGUCCAUGGGAUUUUACAGAUAUGCCCCUGUCUUGGAAGCAUCUGCCUAACAUUAUAAUAUAUGACUUUUCCCGUGGACUUGCGACCCACACAAACCUGAUGAAUCCAACAACUUUUACAUCUUUUGAGGGAUGGUUGCUUAACUCAACCCCAGAAAAUAUUACAAAAGCAAAAUCAGGAAACCUACAAGUGCAACUGCCGUGGCUCACUACAAAAAACUAACUCCAGAUCAAAAUGACCAUCCAAUAACUGGUUCUGCUGAACAUUAUGUUUUUUACGAUCAUUUUCAUGAGGGCAACACAAAGGACAAAGAUUGACUGGGUAAUACCUCCCUCUUUUGCAUUUGUGUUUUAAAUCUGGCACUGUUUAUCUUUCUGUCUGUUUGUUUAUUUAUUGAUUUAUUUAGUGCAUUGAUGCACCAGUUGGUAAGUAGCUACAUUUUGCAGGUUGUCUUUUGUGUGUGUUUUUUGUCAUUUGGAUGUGUUUUUUUGUUUUUAAGCAACAGUCACAUCACUGCCAGAAAACAUAACAACCGGAACUCCUGAACCAUCCAUGGUCACUGCCGAAGAAACGGCUGAAGAACUCACCACACUGCCUCAAUUUUUGGAACUUCUAAAGCCGUAGGAAAGGGAGUUUGAUCCAGUUCAAGAACAACUGACUAGACGCCAAAAGCAUUUGCUGGACGGUGCGAGCUGACCGCGGAGGACCGCAGCGCUUUGCAUCUGGUGUGAACCACACCACAAGUUAACAACGGCGCUGAAUGGAAGCGUACUCCGUUCUAUGCAGCUUCCACAGCGUAACACAGUCAUUAAAAUCCUGAUGCUUCCCAGA